GGUCUGGCAAUUGGAAUGAGUACAAUUUAAAUCCCUUAACGAGGAUCCACUGGAGGGCAAGUCUGGUGCCAGCAGCCGCGGUAAUUCCAGCUCCAGUAGCGUAUAUUAAAGUUGUUGCAGUUAAAAAGCUCGUAGUUGGAUUUCUGGCGUGGUGCGCCCGGCCCGCCGCCGCUAAGGCGGCGAGUGCCGGCGCGCGCCUGCCAUCCUUCUGGAGAGUGUGCCUGCCCUUCACUGGGUUGGGCACGCGAUCUAGAUCGUUUACUUUGAAAAAAUUAGAGUGCUUAAAGCAGGCUUACGCUUCUGAAUACAUUAGCAUGGAAUAAUAAGAUAGGACUUUGGUUCUAUUUUGUUGGUUUCUAGAACUAAAGUAAUGAUUGAUAGGGACAGUUGGGGGUGCUAGUAUUUAACGGCCAGAGGUGAAAUUCUUGGAUUCGUUAAAGACUAACUAAUGCGAAAGCAUUCACCAAGGAUGUCUUCUUUAAUCAAGAACGAAAGUUGGGGGAUCGAAGAGGAUCAGAUACCCUCGUAGUCUCAACCAUAAACGAUACCGACUAGGGAUCGGUGGACGCUGUUUU
rnacentral:rRNA from 1 species